UACGUAGGGGGCGAGCGUUGUCCGGAGUUACUGGGCGUAAAAGCGCUUGUAGGCGGUCCACCAAGUUUGGGGUGACAGUUGCCGACUUAAUCGGCAAAGUGCCUCAAAGACUGGCGGACUUGAGGGCCACAGAGGGACAUGGAACUCCAGGUGUAGUGGUGAAAUGCGUAGAUAUCUGGAAGAACACCAAAGGCGAAGGCAGUGUCCUGGGUGGUCGCUGACGGCUGAGAGGCGAAAGCCAGGGGAGCGAACGGGAU
rnacentral:rRNA from 1 species